CAGACAGGGAGGAACGUUGAAAGUUAAAAUAGGAAGUCAGACUGCCAGACUCCAUUUCACACCUCGACAGAGCAGCAGGAGGAAAACAGGUGUUACUGGUUUAUCUCUCAGAUUGGAGAUGAGUGACUCAAAAGAUGAGGAAGAGGACAAAUCUCCAGUCUCCAGCGGUCUGUGUCUGAAGAGGGACCGGUCUAAAGGGCAACCUCCGUACUUCAGUGAUGAACCUGGACCCUCAGACACAAAAGGGAAGAGGAAGAGUCGUGUUCCUGUGGAGGAGCAGCUGUCCA